rnacentral:rRNA from 1 species
GGGUGACUGCGUACCUUUUGUAUAAUGGGUCAGCGACUUAUAUUCUGUAGCAAGGUUAACCGUAUAGGGGAGCCGCAGGGAAACCGAGUCUUAACUGGGCGUUAAGUUGCAGGGUAUAGACCCGAAACCCGGUGAUCUAGCCAUGGGCAGGUUGAAGGUUGGGUAACACUAACUGGAGGACCGAACCGACUAAUGUUGAAAAAUUAGCGGAUGACUUGUGGCUGGGGGUGAAAGGCCAAUCAAACCGGGAGAUAGCUGGUUCUCCCCGAAAGCUAUUUAGGUAGCGCCUCGUGAACUCAUCUUCGGGGGUAGAGCACUGUUUCGGCUAGGGGGUCAUCCCGACUUACCAACCCGAUGCAAACUACGAAUACCGAAGAAUGUUAUCACGGGAGACACACGGCGGGUGCUAACGUCCGUCGUGAAGAGGGAAACAACCCAGACCGCCAGCUAAGGUCCCAAAGUCAUGGUUAAGUGGGAAACGAUGUGGGAAGGCCCAGACAGCCAGGAUGUUGGCUUAGAAGCAGCCAUCAUUUAAAGAAAGCGUAAUAGCUCACUGGUCGAGUCGGCCUGCGCGGAAGAUGUAACGGGGCUAAACCAUGCACCGAAGCUGCGGCAGCGACACUAUGUGUUGUUGGGUAGGGGAGCGUUCUGUAAGCCGUUGAAGGUGGCCUGUGAGGGUUGCUGGAGGUAUCAGAAGUGCGAAUGCUGACAUAAGUAACGAUAAUGCGGGUGAAAAACCCGCACGCCGGAAGACCAAGGGUUCCUGUCCAACGUUAAUCGGGGCAGGGUGAGUCGACCCCUAAGGCGAGGCCGAAAGGCGUAGUCGAUGGGAAACAGGUUAAUAUUCCUGUACUUGGUGUUACUGCGAAGGGGGGACGGAGAAGGCUAUGUUGGCCGGGCGACGGUUGUCCCGGUUUAAGCAUGUAGGCGGAUGUUCCAGGUAAAUCCGGAACGUCACUAACGCUGAGGGGUGAUGACGAGGCACUACGGUGCUGAAGUGACAAAUGCCCUGCUUCCAGGAAAAGCCUCUAAGCAUCAGGUAACAUCAAAUCGUACCCCAAACCGACACAGGUGGUCAGGUAGAGAAUACCAAGGCGCUUGAGAGAACUCGGGUGAAGGAACUAGGCAAAAUGGUGCCGUAACUUCGGGAGAAGGCACGCUGAUGGUAGGUGAAGUGACUUGCUCAU